ensembl:lncRNA
GACAACUUUUCCGCCCUCGUAGAAUACAAAUCAUUGCCAUCUACAAUUUACCAAACAGGUUAACAUAACAAACCUUGAUUUUUCUACUACCAAUGUGCCCCUAGAACUGGAGGUAGCUCCAGUUACUACUGUUUGUUUUGGCGUAUUCUGAGUUAACGCUGCAGUUAAAGUUUUUGGAUCUUACAACACGGCGGAACCAGAAAGGCUGAAAGGGCAGAUUAGGUGGCAGUUCCUCUACUUGACACCUUCCACAAAUUCCUGCAGGGGAAAGAUGCCGAUGCAGAGUUCAGAAGUCUUGCAUCCCAGAAAAGGAACCUCUUACAUAUGCUCAAGUUCCACUGAAAGAAUUUGGAUGAACUGUGAACCGAUAGAUUUUCGUUGAUAUAUUUAAUCUAUUAAAAUAUAUUAACCAAUAAAGCAGAGAAAGAAGGAUAUUGAGAAGUUGUAGUACCUGGUUGCAACACCAGCUGGGGCCUCAUACUGUUUAAUGCUGCAGUGACCCGAGAAGGCAGUCACUAGUACUACCAGCAGUUCCAUGGUGGUACCAUUGAGCAUUGUGGGAAUCUAGCCAUCAUGAGAAAGUUACCUGUGAUGGUUAAUGCCUACCAGCCAACAUUCACAUGUUGUUGGAAGGCUAAAGUGCACUACGACAAAGUCAUCAUGGGAUAGUGGCAGAUGGUCUAUGCCGGCAGAGCAGCUAAUGCCACAGACAUAACUGUAUUCAGAGCAGUUUGAUCAGAACAAGGACUGAUGUCAACAGAGUCAAUUUCGUGUUCUUCAAAUGCUGUAUCCCUAGCAUGAAUCUUUGUUCUAACCUCUUGUAGGGGGGUGUUCAGAGAAAAAAUACUCCGAGCCAUUGUUUUGGCACAUUCGAAGUUAAAGUCUCAGUUGAAGCAUCAUAUUCUAUACCACAGUGGAAACAGAAAGGUCGAUGCCAAUUACAGUUCCAGUCCUGUAAACACUGGUGUCUGCCCUGAGUUCCUGCAGUAGAAAGCUACCUAUAGCUUCGUAGUCUGGCUCUAGUCAGGGUUUUUUCUGGCAUCCCCAAAAGUCCACUGAGCCAGGAACAACCCUGGUUCCAGUACCUUUUUCCAGAGAGCAGCAGGUGAAACAGUCCAUGAUGGUGAUGAGAGAAGUCUGUGAUAAUCCCUGAGGCUUUCCUUAAGCAGUGUUGGUACAGGUACAAGUACAGGCAAGGUUCCCACGAUUCUCUGUAUCGUCUUGAAUGAGGCGCUGCAGCUUUCAUAUAAUACUCUCCAUGACACCUCUUUAGAGACAGGAAGGAGAAGGAAGGAAUUGCAAGCACUACUGUGCUUUCUUCAGUAGCAAAGAGUAAAUGGUAUACGCCCCAAAGAAUUUGGUGCUUCCACAGACGUGCCGUCAAGCUGAAGAGAGGCACAUGUUUAGAUCUCUUAUUUGGUCGACAUUUGGUUGCACCAGACCAGAAGUUGGCGCAUUUAUUUUUCAUUGCUGAUCAGAGCCACCACUGUUGUGUUGUUCACAUGCAACACACAUUUGUGUUUCAUUGUGGUUAACGGCAAUGGACUGAGGACACAGAAUGGACAUGGAGUCCCAGUGAGCCCAGUUUAGAUGUCCAUGUUUGAUCAUGAAGUUUGAGUGUUUUAAUCCUUUGUAUUUUUAUACGACGAUGUGUGAGACCAGACCGAGAUACCGGAGGGUGAAUGUUUGAAGAGUAGUGACUACUGAUUACAAACUUGAUGCUUAGAGUUGAAGAAAGGAGGUCAUAGCCAUACAUUCAGGUCCGAUCUGUAGGUUAGCAAGGAUGCUAACAGUUCUUACUGUGCAAUAGAAAUUCUUACAGUGAAAAUGUGUCCUGUAAAGCACUCUAUGUUCAUGUUAACCAAUCAUGUUUUGUGUUGCCUUACCAAUAAAGUUUUUGAACAAA